AUGUGGCAGUCAAAUUUAAGUUUUGGGUCCAGAAGAACGCCUAAGUCAUUAACGGAAUAUAUACGGUCGAGUGACGUAUUUUGAAGAGAGUAAUUAACAAAAGUAGGAGUACCCCUAUACCUGUCUGUCUACCUGUCUUUGGGGUGUCUUUUACCAAGUAAUGGCUCCUUUCGUGGACUUCUAGCAUUAAAAUUUUCAUCUAACAGACUUCGGAAAAUAGUGCCAUCACUGAUUCCCAAGCUCAGAGUCGCUUUUAUAGUGUUGCAGGGUGCAAAAGGAUAAGCUUUGCUGAAGCGCACUAUGCGUACGCCCUCUACAAGUGUGGUUUUCCGAAUUGCAUCACGUUUUUCGGGCAUCGGAUCAUAAUUCAUGGCAUUGUAAACCAUAUUGGCUGGAGAUUUUAGGGGACACUGAACAUGUUGAUACGUUUUGCCCUCCUUUCUAAGCUUAAUCAUUAUUUCCUUUCUCCCUUGAAGCAAUGAGAUCCUCUACCCACUAAAGCUAAUUUUUUUCUAUAGUUAUAGUGUAUUAUCGUUCAAUUUAUUAUAAUGGCCUUAAUUAAACCCGAUUUUCAUCAAGUUACAAACAUUUUCGGGACUUUUCCUGGAAGAAAAUCAAAAACUGCUAUUUCAGUGAACAGCCAAAAUAUUGUGCCCUUGUGCAAAAUAUGAAAAUAACCCAAAAACAGACCAAAUCUAAUGGGGCUUUUGCUUGUUUUGUAUCUCUAUGAUCCAUUCUACAAAAUAAAUGUAGUAGCGAUCAACUAACAAAAGGGACUAUGCUUAUAAAAAGUUAUAUAGUUUCGACUCUGCCGCACUGCUAUUUUAAUGAACACAGCUGUAGAUACUCACCCGCCAGCGGCAACAAGUAGGAUACUCUGAAGACCCGGUUGUUCGAUAAGUUUGCAAAGUCAGCCGAAUCAAAGCUACGCCGUUUACUUUAAGGAGGAGCAGGUUCUGGUCUGAAACCUUCGCUCCUGAGUCAAGCAGCUAGUCAAUAAUUCGCGCACUAUUCCUUGCCGAGAUACCUUAAAGCAUUCGCCCUAUUUUAACGAUAUGGGAGGAGAACGAUCUCAAGAAACUUGGAAGUCCUUGUCACACCGUUCACACUAUACUUGGCCUCAACAUGCCGUCCGGUCUAAAGAACGCAACGCAAAUGUUCCAAAGAUUUAUCGUGGCGUCAAUUUCGUUUAUUGCUAUAUAGACCUGAUCAUGUCUAAUCCACCUAAGGAACACGACCAACAUUUUCGUGUCGGCGGUCAUAAGCUACCACUUGGUUUUUUUUUUUUUUUUUUUAAGAAUCUCCUUGUAUGGGUAUUUUACUCAGGACCACCCGAAUAUCUUGGAAAACAAGAAAUAUUUCGUGGAAAUUUCACAAAGUUAAGUUUUGUGUUCCUGUGUUAUUAGGCUAGCCGAAAUAUCGAGUAUACAGACCUAAAAACUAACAAGUUUUUGAGUUACUCCCUGUCACUAGGCUUAAUGGCCAACAAAUUUAAAAAUAAGAGAGAACUCUAUAGCUAUCUAUCAGAUGCGCGUUACUCAAAUAAGGGGAGGAAGGGAGAUGGAGAUCUGCAAGCAGCAAAGCGACUGUUCCCAAGAUGGCACACUACGCCACUCAGUCACAUAGCGUCGAUUCCUUUAUUUGCUUAUAACUAUUUAACGAAUGGUCAGAUUAAUAGAAUGUACAUUUAAAUUUAAAUUCAAUACAUAUUUACAAAUUUGUGUACCACAAAUUUAUAUUUUUUAAAAAUGUGGUUUCUAGACAGGUUUUAGCGUCAUGGCCGUUUGUGGGCGUGGCACCCUGCUGAAAUAAACUUGUGCUGCGCAAAAGCCUCUAGAAUCUUCAGGCGUAGUCCCAACUUUAUAUCUCUUAUGGUUUUUAAGAUAUCAGCGCUUACGGGCGGACAGACGAACAUGGCUAGAUCGACUUUGCUAACGAUCCUGAUCAAGAACAUAUAUACUUUAAAAGGUCGGAAACACUUCCUUCUUCCGAUUACAUACCAAUUUACUCUACAGAACGGGUAUAAAACUGUGGUUUUCUUUAUCCAAUGUUUAUACGUUAUUGAUGAAAUGGCAAGGCAGCAGGUUAGACCACAAAUUCUCUAUUGGAUUGAGAUGGGGGUACUAACAACAACCAACUCCUUUGGCGGUCCGAUGCUCCAACUAUGUGAAUGCCACGGUAAAUGACACAACCCUAAAAUGGUGGUGCUUUUCCAGAGAAUGAUUAUUAUAUGUAUUACCUCAAUACUUUUUAGAGCAUCAUUUGGGCCCAAACCAUUUCGCUGCCGCCGCCACGCUGUAAUGCUCCUUCAGACUAUGAAAUAUUCAUCUUUAAAUACAUACAUGUAUAUUUUAAACCUAGCUACAUUUAAAUUUCUGUAGUACCGUUUUCUCAUCUUAAUAAAACGCUUGAGAAAUAUUAGUAUAAAGUGUUGCUUCGUACACUUUUAUCAAAAAGAAACAAGUCCUGUAUGUACAAUGUACAUAGAUUCACCAAUUUAAAGCAGGGAUGCUUAAAAUAUGCACUACGAAAUUUUAUGUGUGACCCAUAGUAUGUUAACGUUUAUGUAAAUAAUAAUCAAUUUUGUGGUUAGCUAUUUUUUCUAAUAAAAAUCAUAAAU